rnacentral:rRNA from 1 species
AACGAACGCUGGCGGCAGGCUUAACACAUGCAAGUCGAACGCCACCUUCGGGUGGAGUGGCAGACGGGUGAGUAACGCGUGGAAACAUACCUUUUGCUUCGGAAUAUUCCCGGGAAACUGGGAGCGAUACCGAAUGUGCCCUGAGGGGGAAAGAUUUAUCGGCAAAAGAUUGGUCCGCGUUAGAUUAGGUAGUUGGUAGGGUAAAGGCCUACCAAGCCUACGAUCUAUAGCUGGUCUGAGAGGAUGAUCAGCCACAUUAGGACUGAGACACGGCCCAAACUCCUACGGGAGGCAGCAGUGGGGAAUAUUGGACAAUGGGCGCAAGCCUGAUCCAGCCAUGCCGCGUGAAUGAUGAAGGCCUUAGGGUUGUAAAAUUCUUUCACCGGGGACGAUAAUGACGGUACCCGGAGAAGAAGCCCCGGCUAACUUCGUGCCAGCCGCCGCCGUAA